GAUGAACGCUGGCGGCGUGCCUAAUACAUGCAAGUCGAGCGAACAGACGAGGAGCUUGCUCCUCUGACGUUAGCGGCGGACGGGUGAGUAACACGUGGAUAACCUACCUCUAAGACUGGGAUAACUUCGGGAAACCGGUGCUACUACCGGAUAAUAUAUUGAACCGCAUGGUUCAAUAGUGAAAGACGGUUUUGCUGUCACUUAUAGAUGGAUCCGCGUCGCAUUAGCUAGUUGGUAAGGUAACGGCUUACCAAGGCGACGAUGCGUAGCCGACCUGAGAGGAUGAUCGGCCACACUGGAACUGAGACACGGUCCAGACUCCUACGGGAGGCAGCAGUAGGGAAUCUUCGGCAAUGGGCGCAAGCCUGACCCAGCCACGCCGCGUGCGUGAAGAAGGUCUUCGGGUCGUAAACCGCUGUUGUUAGGGAAGAAAAAAUGUGGAAUAAUAUAUGCACGUGUUGACGGUACCUAAAGAGUAAGCACCGGCUAACUACGUG
rnacentral:rRNA from 1 species